rnacentral:lncRNA from 1 species
GCAAACUUAAAGAACAUGAGUUGGAAUUAAGACGUUUGACACUCAAUGAACAAAUGGACGAGAACAUCAAAGAAACCUCCUUCAAAGCAACAAGAUCACAUUCAAUAAGUCAAAAGGAGAUAUAUGAUGAUGAUAAGUCCGAUUCCAACAUGGAUGAUGAAGGCAUGUCCCUCCUUAUCCACAAAUUCAGAAAGUGCUUAAGAAAGAAUGGAGGAACCAAGGAGCUUCAUAAGGAAGAUGAAGAAAGUUUAAUUAAGAUGAGCAAGAAUCUCAAAGAAAUGCAUCGUGCCGUAAGAGUAGGAAAGUAAGACGCAUGAGGUACACAUGCCCUACUCCUUCCAAGAAGGUUGAACAAGAUUACAAGAAAGACUCUCGGGAUAUCAAAGUUAAAAAGGCACACAUUAUUUGGGAUGAACCCGAAGAGGACGAUUCAUCAACAAGCAUCUCGAAAAAUGAAGAAUCAUACAAGAUUUGUCUAAUGGCUCAAAAUCUGAAAUCUUGUAAAGUAAGUGAGCAAGAUGAGCCUAGUGAGGUAUACUCAUCCGAUUCUAUUUCAAAUUUUGUUAUACUUCCCAUGUAUGACAUGCUUUAUGAUGCUAAUGUUGAAAUGUAUGGAG